UUUAUUGUUUUCCUUACACACGUGUAACUGUCAUUGGCUUCUUCACGUCGCCUCUUUCCACGUUACCUUUCAUCUUUACCAAAUCGAUUAAACGUCUCCAUUCUUCUUGAACCCUAAAUCGAUAAUCAGAAAUCGAUCGCAUGACAACAACUGCGCUCAAACCUGGCACCCAUCUCCUCCUUCGCAAGCCCUAAGUUCUCCUUCUAUUUGACCACCAGAUCUCCUCAGCGUGUCAUCCUUAAACUCGGGUUUGCCGAGCCUCGAUUUUGCCUUCAUACAAUGGGCAGGUUGUUUAGGCCUGGAAUUGGAACCGGAAUCGUUUGGUCAUUUUAUUUAUCAACAUUUUUGGUGUUAUCACGCAACUUAUUUUGAUGUGAAACCUUCCAAAAUAAAACUAUGUUAUUAUAGUUUAUUACAUCAAAAAGAAAAAUAAUACAUAGAAACUGUUUUUCCUCAUUUUAAUCUACAUAAAAAAUUCUUUUGAUCACCAUGUGUUAUGGACUUGAAAGGUUAUACUCACCACUACGUAAACAAAAGGCGUUAUAGGAGAAACACUGUUAACGAAAUAUAAUUGUCAUGUGGAGAUUAAAAUGAGGGGUAGAAAUUUGUAGGUAUUUAACUAAAAUUAAAGUGAUUGAGUUUUGAUGUAAUUUCAUGAAAGGUUUAAAGAGAUUUCACAUCCAGGUGAGGGAGUAUGAUAGCUCUUUAGGAAGCGCUAAUACAUUAUCAUACUAUUUCUUUUAAAAGAAGCUAUUUUUGCUACUAAUGUAACUUUUCCUUUUGAAUACUAUAGAAGUUGGAUUGUUGAUGGUAGAGCUAUUGCAUGAAAGGUUGAAACCUGUUGUCUGCCUUUGGUAAAUAAAGUCAAAGACUGGAGCAAUUCAGGAUUGACCAUGAUGCCAUUUCAGGAUUGAUAGUAGUGAUGUAUCAGUAGAGUAGUGGUCUGGGCUUCCCAUUGGUGUGAAAUUUGAACCCACUGAUCUGAUCUUGAGCUCUUAGAACAUUCGGCAGCCAAAUGUGGUGUGGGGAAUCAAAAACCACACCAAUUAAUUGAUGAGUUCAUCCCUACACUUGAUGUAGAUGAAGGAAUAUGUUCCAAACAUCCUCCUGAAAAUCUUCCUGGGUAGUCACGUUGAGAAAAUAUUAUAUGGACUCAGCUAUAUAGGAGCAACUAACUAAUGCAUCAUUGUUGGGAGUGAGAUGGACAAACUUGCAAUUGAAGAACCAGGUUUAAAGAACCGUGGUGUUCCUCAAAAAGUUUCUUACAAGGAUUUACCAUCUCAAAAACAGGUUUUAGUUUAAGUUCAAAUUAGAUCAUUUUAUAUUAAUAUGUUAGAUAGUAACAUAAAGUUUUGGUAAAUAUUAGGAUUAUGGAUUUGAGAGUUAUACAGUUUAAUAAAUACAUAUCGGGUAUUAAUGUGUUUACUUAAUAUCUUGAUUUGCCA